rnacentral:rRNA from 1 species
AUCCUGGUCCAGGAUGAACGCUGGCGGCGUGGAUAAGGCAUGCAAGUCGAGGGAUUCUGUAGCAAUACAGAAGACCGGCGAACGGGUUAGUAAUACCUUGGUACAUACCUUGAAGUGGGGCAUAGUCGGUCGAAAGAUCGGGUAAUUCCCCAUAGUCCGAGCAUUCGUACUGUUUGCUCGGUAAAGAUGCAAAUCGCUUUAAGAUUGGCCUAGGUCCUAUCAGGUAGUUGGCGGGGUAAAUGCCCACCAAGCCUAUGACGGGUAGGGGAGCUGAGAGGCUGUUCCCCAACAGGGACACUGAGACACGGGUCCCACUCCUACGGGAGGCAGCAGUCGAGAAUAUUCGGCAAUGGGCGAAAGCCUGACCGAGCGACGCCGCGUGCAGGAAGAAGGUCUUCGGAUUGUAAACUGCUUUUAUUAGGGAUGAAGUAAUUGACAGUACCUAGUGAAUAAGGGGCUGCUAACUACGUGCCAGCAGCCGCGGUAAUACGUAGGCCCCAAGCGUUAUCCGGAUUUAUUGGGCGUAAAGGGUGUGUAGGAGGUUUGAAGCAUCUUCUGUUAAAUCUCAGGGCCCAACCUUGGAAUUGCAGAAGAGAUGGUCAAACUAGAGAAUGCUAUAGGUUGAUGGAACAGCCGGUGUAGGGGUGAAAUCCGUUGAUAUCGGCUGGAACGCCAGAGGUGAAAACGAUCAACUGGAGCAUAUCUGACUCUGAAACACGAAAGCGUGGGGAGCAAAAAGGAUUAGAUACCCUUGUAGUCCACGCCCUAAACGAUGCCUGCCAGCUAUUUUGAGUAUCGACCCUCGGAGUGGCGAAGCUAACGCGUUAAGCAGGCCGCCUGGGAAGUACGAGCGCAAGCUUAAAACUCAAAGGAAUAGACGGGGACUCGCACAAGCGGUGGAUCAUGAGGUUUAAUUCGACGCUAAACGAGGAACCUUACCAGGGCUAGAAAUCCUGAUGACGAUGUUCCGAAAGGAAUAUUUUCUUUCAAGGACAUCAGGACAGGUGCUGCAUGGUUGUCGUCAGCUCGUGGCUUGAGUUGUUCCCUUAAGUGGGGUAACGAGCGCAACCUCUGUCGUGUGUUACAAGUGUCACACGAGACCGCCCCCUCCAAGCGCAUUUACUUUAAGUAAGUGAAGUGCGUUUAGAGGGGGAGGAAGAUGGAGAUGACGUCAAAUCAGCAUGGCCCUCUGAUGCCCUGGGCCACACUCAUGAUACAAUGGCCAAGACAAAGGGUUUGCCAAGCCGAAAGGCGGAGCUAAUCUCAAAAAAAUGGCCUUAGUUCGGAUUGGGGUCUGAAACUCGACCCCAUGAAGUCGGAAUCGCUAGUAAUCGCGGAUCAGCUAUGCCGCGGUGAAUACGUUCUCGAGUCCUGUACUCACCGCCCGUCACGUCAAGGGAGCCGGGAAGACCUAAAGUUCGCUUUCAGCGGAUUAGGGUCAGCUCGGUAACAGGGACGAAGUCGUAACAAGGCACCGGUAGCGGAAGCUGUCGGUG